GGUGCUGCUAAAGCGCCGUGUUAAUGAGGUCAACGCAGAAGAACGUCACGUGAUUCUGCGGACGCGUUGGCCUGGCAACUGCAGCAAACCUUUAUCUGGUGCUUAAAGCACGCGCCCACAAGACACAGCGAUGCCCGAGGUCAAGUCAAUAUUGAGAGAAGUUCUGCCUAAGCAAGGACAGCUCUACAUGGAAGACGUCCCAACCAUGGUCCUGUGUAAGCCAAAGCUGCUCCCACUCAAAUCAGUCACCCUGGAGAAACUGGAGAAGAUGCAGAUGGAGGCUCAAGAGGCCGUCAAGCAGCAGGAACUGGCAAUGAAGGAGCAAGGACAGCAGAUGCCCAGUUGAGGACUUGAAACCACAAAAAAAAAAAAAAAAAAAACACGACUUUUUGAUAAAGAGCACAACUCCAAUGAGUCAAACAUUGGCGAGAAAGUAUUUUUGUAAUCAGUGGAACAAACUUAAGUUAUACUUUUUAUUUUGUAAGUGAGCAGACGCUUUAAGAAAGCUGCAGACACAUAAGUUUGUCGGUAGCGGCAGCUUAUCUGAGRAAUUGUGCAACACGUAGUGAUUAUUUUAAUAGUGACAAUAAUAGGAAAAAAAACAUUUUAUAAUUAUUUAAUCAAUAAACAAARAAAUUGCCAUAAGUUGCUGCCUAAGUACAAAAAUAAAGCAUUAUAAGUUAUCUGAUGGAUGUUUUUUGUUUUGAUGUGUUCUAGCACAGCGUAGAAGUGAAACACAGCAUACAAAGACAGCAGCCAGUUUUACACCCGUUAUGACAUUGAACUAACACCCUCCCUUUAUUUAUUUUUUUCUUUAUUUCUUCCACAGAUUCAUAAAGCUCUCAUCACAAAUUAGUUAUCUUGGUACAAACACUGCUUUUGGAAAACAAAAGGAGUAGCAGUAAAACAGAAAAGAAAAAAAUAAACUGUACAAAACAACAUGGAAUGACUGACACUGAGAGGUGUGGCACUUUAAGGGAUAGCUUAUGUAAAUGUUUGUAUAGAAACACUGAAGUAAAGUGAUCUACUUCAGUUUAAAUCAAAAGUGCAGCUUUUCUUUUUUACCCAGAAUUAUACCAUUGGAAGGGAGAACAUUUUACUUCACCAUUAAAAAAAAACAAACAAACAAAAAAA